rnacentral:tRNA from 1 species
GCGUGCGUAGUUCAACUGGAUAGAAUAUCAGAUUUCGGCUCUGAGGGUUGAGGGUUCGAAUCCUUCCGCGCGUA